rnacentral:rRNA from 14 species
GAUCACUAGCGAGAAUGAUGACAUGAGUAGCGACAAAGAGUGUGAGAGACACUCUCGCCGAAAGUCCAAGGGUUCCUGCUUAAAGCUAAUCUGAGCAGGGUAAGCCGACCCCUAAGGCGAGGCCGAAAGGCGUAGUCGAUGGGAACCAGGUUAAUAUUCCUGGGCCAGGAGGAUGUGACGGAUUGUGGCGGCGUGCGUGCCUUAUCGGAUUGGCACGUAUCCAAGACAGUCCCAGGAAAUAGCCCUCCAUGAGAUCGUACCCUAAACCGACACAGGUGGACUGGUAGAGAAUACCAAGGCGCUUGAGAGAACGAUGUUGAAGGAACUCGGCAAAAUACCUCCGUAAGUUCGCGAGAAGGAGGCCCGGUACACGACUACCGGGGGCACAAACCAGGGGGUGGCGACUGUUUAUUAAAAACACAGGGCUCUGCGAAGUCGCAAGACGACGUAUAGGGUCUGACGCCUGCCCGGUGCCUGAAGGUUAAAAGGAGGGGUGCAAGCUCCGAAUUGAAGCCCAGGUAAACGGCGGCCGUAACUAUAACGGUCCUAAGGUAGCGAAAUUCCUUGUCGGGUAAGUUCCGACCUGCACGAAUGGCGUAACGACUUCCCCGCUGUCUCCAACAUCGACUCAGCGAAAUUGAAUUGCCUGUCAAGAUGCAGGCUUCCCGCGGUUAGACGGAAAGACCCCGUGCACCUUCACUACAGCUUCGCACUGGCAUCAGGCACAACAUGUGCAGGAUAGGUGGUAGGCUUUGAAGCAGGGACGCCAGUCCCUGUGGAGCCUCCCUUGAGAUACCACCCUUGUUCUGCUUGAUGUCUAACCGCGGCCCGUUAUCCGGGUCCGGGACCGUGCGUGGUGGGUAGUUUGACUGGGGCGGUCGCCUCCUAAAGCGUAACGGAGGCGCGCGAAGGUUGGCUCAGAGCGGUCGGAAAUCGCUCGUUGAGUGCAAUGGCAGAAGCCAGCCUGACUGCAAGACUGACAAGUCGAGCAGAGUCGAAAGACGGCCAUAGUGAUCCGGUGGUCCCAAGUGGGAGGGCCAUCGCUCAACGGAUAAAAGGUACGCCGGGGAUAACAGGCUGAUACUGCCCAAGAGUCCAUAUCGACGGCAGUGUUUGGCACCUCGAUGUCGGCUCGUCUCAUCCUGGGGCUGGAGCAGGUCCCAAGGGUAUGGCUGUUCGCCAUUUAAAGAGGUACGUGAGCUGGGUUUAGAACGUCGUGAGACAGUUCGGUCCCUAUCUGCCGUGGGUGUAGGAUACUUGAGAGGAGUUGCCCCUAGUACGAGAGGACCGGGGUGAACGAUCCACUGGUGGACCUGUUAUCGCGCCAGCGGUAGUGCAGGGUAGCUAUGAUCGGAAAGGAUAACCGCUGAAGGCAUCUAAGCGGGAAGCCCCCCUCAAAACAAGGUAUCCCUGAGGACCGUGGAAGACCACCACGUCGAUAGGCCGGAGAUGUAAGCGCAGCAAUGCGUUCAGUUGACCGGUACUAAUGGCC